UACAGAGGGUGCAAGCGUUGUUCGGAAUUAUUGGGCGUAAAGAGCGUGUAGGCGGCCUGGUAGGUCUGCUGUGAAAAACUCGAGGCUCAACCUCGAGAUGUCGGCGGAAACCAUCUGGCUAGAGUCCGGAAGAGGAGAGUGGAAUUCCUGGUGUAGCGGUGAAAUGCGCAGAUAUCAGGAAGAACACCUAUGGCGAAGGCAGCUCUCUGGGACGGUACUGACGCUGAGACGCGAAAGCGUGGGGAGCGAACAGG
rnacentral:rRNA from 1 species